rnacentral:tRNA from 1 species
GGGCGGUUAGCUCAGCUGGUCAGAGCGCUGCGUUCACAUCGCAGAGGCCACUGGUUCAAAUCCAGUAUCGCCCACCA